AUGGAGUUGUUGAACAAGUAUACAAGUGAUAUGUUGAUAGAGGAACAAAGUGAGGCUAAGGACAUGCUUAACAUCAAGAGUCGUAGAAGUAAUCACGUUGGAUAUGCACUUCAUCGUCUACAGUUUCCUCAGACUCCAACUGGGGAAAAGGACAAUGGACGAGUUGUGUUCAAAGUGACGUCUUUUAUAUGAAUAAGAGGAAUUUUCAUAGAACAAGGCCGGCGCUUGUAA